rnacentral:lncRNA from 1 species
UUUCUAAACCAUCACCAAUACAAUUUCAUCAUCAAUUCAAACCAAUUUCAAAACAAAACCAAACAAUUAUUGAUUCAAUAUCAAUCUCACAUCUCCAAAUACCCUUGUAAGUCGAUUGCUCUAUAGCAUCGCCAUCAACCUCACAUAGCUUACUCUUCGGCUUUCUUACAAUGAGACCUAUUCGGUUAUUAAUUAAUCGAUUAGAUGAUUGAUUCACUAAAAUACAAUUUAUUCAAAAC